rnacentral:lncRNA from 1 species
CACAGCUUGAAGAAAAUGCUGCUGACUAUCUGUCCGCUGCAGAGUUGGAGCGCUUAAUCCCUCUUCAUAUUCCACUUCCCUAACUUCUGGCAUAUAGAAUCACAUCUGCUUAACUCAGGGACUGCUGAGAUUUCAUGAGGAUUUGGGGAGUAGGAGGCAUCUUGGCAUGGAGAUCAUUAUUACUUUUUGAUCCGCCUUCGAAUGAAAUAAAUAUAACAAACAUGAAAACUACCAGAGAUUUGGGCCUGUGUAGCUUUCUCCCUACCUAGUUAAAGAAGGUUAAUUAAUAUGGCUACACUAGAUUUCCACAAGGUAUGUGUUAAUAAUCAAUCCA